AUCGAGUCUUUGAACGCAAGUUGCGCCCGAAGCCGUUAGGCCGAGGGCACGCCUGCCUGGGCGUCACAC
rnacentral:rRNA from 1 species